rnacentral:lncRNA from 1 species
CUUGAUGCAGGGAAUACUGCAAAGCCCUCUCUCUCGGCGUUGCGGCCUCCGCUACUACCCUGUGAGGCAGCGGGGCAGGGGUUCGAAAAGCCCAUUUAGCAGAUGAGCCCUGAGGCUCAGAGAGGAGUUGUUUUGCCCAGGUUCACACAGCUUCUAAGCGAAAUCCAAGCCGAGAGCUCUGGCUCCUGCUCCUAAACUUUCCCCCAAACACAACAGAUUUUAUCACAAUGAGCUGCUUUCCACAGAUUCAGAAUAAUGAGACGAUUAUUUAUUAAGUGUAUUGCUACUGCUUCUUUAGUUUCACAUUUCGAAGUGAUUUAUUUACCAUCUUCCGGAGAGGGACCAGUAGAAAAGAAAGAAAAAAAAAAGAAGAAGAAGAAAGGAAGGGGGGAGAAAAGAAGACAAGAAAGAAGAAAGGAGAAAACAAGGGAAUUAGUUCUGACACAAAAAGAGAAACAUCUGUGACACUAGAUACAGCACACAUCUUGAAAGGCUUAAAUGUGAUGUACUCGGAAAGUUAACAUUAAAUUGUUACUUGAGUGGUUCAUAGUGAACGAUGGCUUUUCAUCUUGUUUUUCAUUCUGUU